GCUUAUGGUGUAGGGGCUAAGCACGCGACCAUAUAUGGAGGCUACAGUCCUCGAAGCGGUCAUCCCAGGUUCGAGUCCUGGACCCAGCAACA